ACUUUCAGCUUUUCAUUGAUAUCCACUGGCAAAUAUGAUUUCUUUAAGGCUAAGCCUUCUUUUCACGCACUUAACUGCGGUCUGAUAAUUCAUCAGACAUAUUCCAAGAAUGAUCGGAAGACUUAUAUUGUCUACAUGGGCGACCACCCUAAGGGCAUGGACCCCGCAUCCUUACCUUCCCUUCAUAUGACAAUGGCUCAAAAAGUCCUUGGCAGCGACUUUGAACCAGAAGCUAUACUUCACAGUUACAAGAAAAGCUUUAAUGGAUUUGUCAUCAAAUUAACAGAACAGGAAGCGGAAAAAAUGGCAGGUACUAUAUAUAAUCUCCUUUUUUUUACAACAACUAUUACUUAAAAUAUUCGCUCAACGUUCUCGGAAGAAAAAACCACGGUGUUAAAUGUUAAUACUUUCAUAUUGUAAGAAAUGGACACUGUUGUUUCUGUCUUCCCAAAUAGGAAGACUAAUCUGCACACAACUAGAUCCUGGGACUUCUUAGGCGUUUCGCAUCAAAUCCAAAGAACAAGUUUAGAGAGUGACAUAAUUUUGGGAGUAAUAGACACGGGAGUUUGGCCAGAGUCUAAUAGCUUCAGUGACAAAGGAUUAAUUUGGUCCUAGCCUCCACCAAGCAAAUGGAAGGGAUCAUGCAAAACUUUACCUGCAACAAGUAAUCAUGUCUCUUGAUAUAUCUCGGAUGAUCAGAAAGUGUUAACAAUAUAUUUUCUAAGACACUAUU